UAAAAAUUUUUGGAGAAUCAGAGUAGAAGUAUUCCAUGAAUAUUUGUGCGAGUAUUCUCGACAAGCACAAUAAGUGGCACAAGACCGCUUUCUAUCUGCAUCCAGAUAAUGUCUCGUUGUGAAUCUUAAAGAUUCAUUUGA